UGAAAAACUAAAAGAGUAUCCGAAAGAUGG
rnacentral:piRNA from 1 species